rnacentral:rRNA from 1 species
UAACUGAAGAGUUUGAUCAUGGCUCAGAUUGAACGCUGGCGGCAGGCUUAACACAUGCAAGUCGAGCGGGGGAAGGUAGCUUGCUACUGGACCUAGCGGCGGACGGGUGAGUAAUGCUUAGGAAUCUGCCUAUUAGUGGGGGACAACAUCUCGAAAGGGAUGCUAAUACCGCAUACGUCCUACGGGAGAAAGCAGGGGAUCUUCGGACCUUGCGCUAAUAGAUGAGCCUAAGUCGGAUUAGCUAGUUGGUGGGGUAAAGGCCUACCAAGGCGACGAUCUGUAGCGGGUCUGAGAGGAUGAUCCGCCACACUGGGACUGAGACACGGCCCAGACUCCUACGGGAGGCAGCAGUGGGGAAUAUUGGACAAUGGGGGGAACCCUGAUCCAGCCAUGCCGCGUGUGUGAAGAAGGCCUUAUGGUUGUAAAGCACUUUAAGCGAGGAGGAGGCUACUUUAGUUAAUACCUAGAGAUAGUGGACGUUACUCGCAGAAUAAGCACCGGCUAACUCUGUGCCAGCAGCCGCGGUAAUACAGAGGGUGCGAGCGUUAAUCGGAUUUACUGGGCGUAAAGCGUGCGUAGGCGGCUUAUUAAGUCGGAUGUGAAAUCCCCGAGCUUAACUUGGGAAUUGCAUUCGAUACUGGUGAGCUAGAGUAUGGGAGAGGAUGGUAGAAUUCCAGGUGUAGCGGUGAAAUGCGUAGAGAUCUGGAGGAAUACCGAUGGCGAAGGCAGCCAUCUGGCCUAAUACUGACGCUGAGGUACGAAAGCAUGGGGAGCAAACAGGAUUAGAUACCCUGGUAGUCCAUGCCGUAAACGAUGUCUACUAGCCGUUGGGGCCUUUGAGGCUUUAGUGGCGCAGCUAACGCGAUAAGUAGACCGCCUGGGGAGUACGGUCGCAAGACUAAAACUCAAAUGAAUUGACGGGGGCCCGCACAAGCGGUGGAGCAUGUGGUUUAAUUCGAUGCAACGCGAAGAACCUUACCUGGCCUUGACAUACUAGAAACUUUCCAGAGAUGGAUUGGUGCCUUCGGGAAUCUAGAUACAGGUGCUGCAUGGCUGUCGUCAGCUCGUGUCGUGAGAUGUUGGGUUAAGUCCCGCAACGAGCGCAACCCUUUUCCUUACUUGCCAGCAUUUCGGA